UUAACACAUGCAAGUCGAGGGGCAGCAUGGUCUUAGCUUGCUAAGGCCGAUGGCGACCGGCGCACGGGUGAGUAACACGUAUCCAACCUGCCGUCUACUCUUGGACAGCCUUCUGAAAGGAAGAUUAAUACAAGAUGGCAUCAUGAGUCCACAUGUUCACAUGAUUAAAGGUAUUCCGGUAGACGAUGGGGAUGCGUUCCAUUAGAUAGUAGGCGGGGUAACGGCCCACCUAGUCUUCGGUGGAUAGGGGUUCUGAGAGGAAGGUCCCCCACAUUGGAACUGAGACACGGUCCAAACUCCUACGGGAGGCAGCAGUGAGGAAUAUUGGUCAAUGGGCGAGAGCCUGAACCAGCCAAGUAGCGUGAAGGAUGACUGCCCUAUGGGUUGUAAACUUCUUUUAUAAAGGAAUAAAGUCGGGUAUGGAUACCCGUUUGCAUGUACUUUAUGAAUAAGGAUCGGCUAACUCCGUGCCAGCAGCCGCGGUAAUACGGAGGAUCCGAGCGUUAUCCGGAUUUAUUGGGUUUAAAGGGAGCGUAGAUGGAUGUUUAAGUCAGUUGUGAAAGUUUGCGGCUCAACCGUAAAAUUGCAGUUGAUACUGGAUAUCUUGAGUGCAGUUGAGGCAGGCGGAAUUCGUGGUGUAGCGGUGAAAUGCUUAGAUAUCACGAAGAACUCCGAUUGCGAAGGCAGCCUGCUAAGCUGCAACUGACAUUGAGGCUCGAAAGUGUGGGUAUCAAACAGGAUUAGAUACCCUGGUAGUCCACACGGUAAACGAUGAAUACUCGCUGUUUGCGAUAUACAGCAAGCGGCCAAGCGAAAGCGUUAAGUAUUCCACCUGGGGAGUACGCCGGCAACGGUGAAACUCAAAGGAAUUGACGGGGGCCCGCACAAGCGGAGGAACAUGUGGUUUAAUUCGAUGAUACGCGAGGAACCUUACCCGGGCUUAAAUUGCAGAUGAAUUACGGUGAAAGCCGUAAGCCGCAAGGCAUCUGUGAAGGUGCUGCAUGGUUGUCGUCAGCUCGUGCCGUGAGGUGUCGGCUUAAGUGCCAUAACGAGCGCAACCCUUGUUGUCAGUUACUAACAGGUUCCGCUGAGGACUCUGACAAGACUGCCAUCGUAAGAUGUGAGGAAGGUGGGGAUGACGUCAAAUCAGCACGGCCCUUACGUCCGGGGCUACACACGUGUUACAAUGGGGGGUACAGAGGGCCGCUACCACGCGAGUGGAUGCCAAUCCCAAAAACCUCUCUCAGUUCGGACUGGAGUCUGCAACCCGACUCCACGAAGCUGGAUUCGCUAGUAAUCGCGCAUCAGCCAUGGCGCGGUGAAUACGUUCCCGGGCCUUGUACACACCGCCCGUCAAGCCAUGAAAGCCGGGGGUACCUGAAGUACGUAACCGCAAGGAGCGUCCUAGGGUAAAACUGGUAAUUGGGGCUAA
rnacentral:rRNA from 1 species